GCCUACGGGGCGCAGCAGUGGGGGAUAUUGCACAAUGGGGGAAACCCUGAUGCAGCGACGCCGCGUGUGGGAAGACGGUCCUCUGGAUUGUAAACCACUGUCCCCAUGGACGACGCUGACGGUACCUGGGGAGGAAGCUCCGGCUAACUACGUGCCAGCAGCCGCGGUCAUACGUCGGGAGCAAGCGUUGUCCGGAAUUACUGGGUGUAAAGUGCGCGUAGGCGGGAUGGCACGUUGGGUGUUACAUCUACCGGCUCAUCUGGUAGUCGCACUCAAAACUGCUAUUCUUGAGUGACGUAGAGGCG
rnacentral:rRNA from 1 species